UACGAAGGGAGCUAGCUUUGUUCGGAAUCACUGGGCGGAAAGCGCACGUAGGCGGCUGUGUCAGUCAGGGGUGAAAUCCCGGAGCUCAACUUCGGAACUGCCCUUGAUACAGCACGUCUUGAGUCCGGAAGAGGUGGGUGGAAUUCCUAGUGUAGAGGUGAAAUUCGUAGAUAUUAGGAAGAACACCGGUGGCGAAGGCGGCCCACUGGUCCGGUACUGACGCUGAGGUGCGAAAGCGUGGGGAGCAAACAGG
rnacentral:rRNA from 1 species